AAAUGCGAUAAGUAAUGUGAAUUGCAGAAUUCAGUGAAUCAUCGAAUCUUUGAACGCACCUUGCGCUCCUUGGUAUUCAUUGGAGCAUGCCUGUUUGAGUAUCAUGAAAUCUUCAAAGUAAAUCUUUUGUUAACUCAAUUGGUUUCUACUUUGGUAUUGGAGGUCUUUGCAGCUUCACACCUGCUCCUCUUUGUUCAUUAGCUGGAUCUCAGUGUUAUGCUUGGUUCCACUCGGCGUGAUAAGUUAUCUAUCGCUGAGGACACUGUAAAAGGUGGCCAAGGUAAAUGCAGAUGAACCGCUUCUAAUAGUCCAUUGACUUGGACAAUACUUUUAUGAUCUGAUCUCAAAUCAGGUAGGACUACCCGCUGAACUUAAGC
rnacentral:misc_RNA from 1 species